ACCCGGGCAUCCAUCCACACUCGAUCCCCACCCGUCGCCGCCGCCCUGAUCCCACCGCGCCGCCGGCGGCCCUGGCUCCCGUGCACCGCAGUCGUGUCGUAGAUCUCUGCACCGCCGCAGACCACCACAUCCAGCGCCAGAUCAAGAUGCAGCUCUCCCUCCUCCCAGAUCUAGGCGUCGAACCCAACCUCUUGGGCCACCGGAUCCUGGGUAUUGAACACGCCGCUCCGGCCUUCUUCCACAGAGCCGGUGGCAGCUCCGCCUUCGACCAGCUGCCCAGUGCUCCUCCAGUUCAUCGCGGUCAUCCUCCUCCAUCAACGCCUACAUCCUCACCGGUGGCGCAUCCUUCCUCCCCGUAGCCUAAAGCAAUUCCCUUUCGUCGUCGUUCUAGUAUCACGACCAACCACCGCCUCCCCAUCCCUCCGGCCUCGACCUACAGCUGGGGGAGGUCUCGACCUGCAGUUGGUCGCGUGCCCCACUGCGACCCACUGCACCAAUUACAGCCGGCUCCCUCUGUCAUUUCCCUCCUGACCUUCCUCCUAAUCUAUAUGAAGUCUUGUCAAACAGCUGGACAUCCAAACUGGCAAAAGAUUCAACACAUCGGCAGCAAAAUAUUUCUGUGACCCCGCAAAUUAGAGUUUCUGGUAUCUGUGCUGUGCUGCCCGACGUGUGAUUCUAUCUAUGCUCUGGUUUUCUUGUAUGUAUUCCAGAAGGAUGUAUCCAUCGCGACUCCUCUCCACACUGCACUCUGCUUGGAGUUGGAGCACGCAAGAUUUGGCAGUUUUCCUGUCCCACUUGCGUUUCUGUAUUUCAUAUAGUACAUUAUGUACACAAUAUUGGCUGACGGAAACAGGGUGAAUUUAUUUUACAGUCCUAAUUGAAUAUAUCCAUGCCUUGUUGGAUGCCACAUUUAGGGACCCAUUUUCGGUCUCCCCCGCCAUGCUCCUGCAGGUCGACUGCGCCGCCGCACGAAGUUCACCGGCCAUAGCUGCGGACGGACGAAAUUCCAACUCUACCGCAACCCCUCCAGACCCACAGUGGCCAAAGAUGGCGCUCCACAGCUGUUCGGUGUAAUGCCUAAGGAGCAAACAAUGUCUCUCUCACUUUUGUUUUUGGAAAGACCUAUCUAUCAUCUUGCCGCUGCUUUCGAGUGGCUCCAUCUGCAGAUGGGGGAGGUCUCGACCUACAGCUGGGAGAAGUCUCGACCUGCAACUCGUCGCGCGCGCCGCUGCCACUGAGGCCCACCACCUACAGCCGGCGCCGCAGCGCCUCAACCGUUCAACUAUGCCACCUCAGCAGUUCAAUGUAUAUUGGAGAAGAAGAAAAAACAACAGUAGGUUCAAAUGUUGUGUUUUGUGAUUGUUGUAGACUUGCAGCAAAUUAGAGGUGGGUUCAAAGAAAAAAUUGUUCCCUUUGAUGGAGCACCUGGUCGUUCCCUUUGUUUUGUUUUGUUUUGCAAACUGCUAGUUGGCCGUAUAGCUUCAGUAGUGGUAUAAUGCUUAAUGUUCCUGACUAUUGGUCUUGAUGUUUGGCCGUACUUGAGGUUCAGCUUGGUAAUGUGUACGGGAGCAGUUUGGAUUUGGUAUUUUUCUGCAGUUUGGCACCGUGUUAUAUGUAUUUUAAAAGUGCACAAAACAAUAGCACUUCAUUCAAAAUUGGUUGUGCAAAGUGCGCAUGCUCCAUGGGUGCUUGUUGUAAUCCGAAAAUUCUUCAUUGAAAACAAGUAAAGUUCGUAUGUUUAAAAAAGCCUUAGAAAGCAAAACCAAAUUCAACAAAACAAAAAAUGCUAGUGAGUUCUUUGCAAAAACCACAUGAAGUUCAAUAAGUAUGAUUUUAGAGGUUCAAGUAAUAUGAGAACGCUGGAAGUUU